rnacentral:rRNA from 1 species
GUGCCAGCAGCCGCGGUAAUACAGAGGGUGCAAGCGUUAUUCGGAAUCACUGGGCGUAAAGAGUUCGUAGGCGGUUUGUUAAGUUUAAUGUGAAAGCCCAGGGCUCAAUCCUGGAAGUGCAUUAGAUACUGGCAAGCUGGAGUGCAGGAGAGGAAGGCGGAAUUUCAGGUGUAGAGGUGAAAUUCGUAGAUAUCUGAAGGAACAACAGAGGCGAAGGCGGCCUUCUGGACUGUCACUGACGCUGAGGAACGAAAGCGUGGGGAGCAAACAGGAUUAGAUACCCUAGUAGUCC